GUAACAAUGGCAAGCAAGCACCUGUUAAAAAAUGAUGGGUGAUUGCUAGCCACGUGGCAGAAACAAACCCAUGCGAUUGAGAAGAGUCGUUAGCCAUUCACGGAAGAAAGUAAAUUUAAUGGAAGAAUUCGCGGGAAGAAACAGCUAAGCGGAGGGGAAACAAAAACUUCACUAAUCUAAACAACACUCGUUACUCUGCCUUAACCUUCUUUAAAUUCUCUUCUCAUCGCUCUUCAUCAACGCAAUUGUUACUCUCUUUUCUAUAAUCCUUAUAGAAGAACAGCCAGACCCCUUUAUCCAUUUAAGCUAUUCUCACCCACCCGUCCUGAUAAGAUCAUUCAAGUUACCCCGUCUCUGAAGAAGAGAGCACAGUUGGGUCCACUUCUGCUGCCACUGCCACUGCCACUGCCACUGCCACUGCCACUGAUGUGUUCAUGCUCACUUACUUGGAGGUGACAUUUUCCGUCUCCUUCACCUGGGGAAUAGUUGUUUAUGAGAGGUGGGUGAGGCUAAUGUUUUGGUCGACCUCUUCCUGGUGGGUAACGUGGAUUUUGGAAUCCCCGGGCUUUAUGAUGCUGCCAAGGAGGUCCUUAAGAACUUCCAGCUCAGUGAUCUUCCUGAAGUGGAUUGCCUAUAGAUCUCUCAAAGUCUAGAUAAUCAUUGCCACUUAAAGACACUUUCUCGAUCAUCCAAAUGCUAAGCCUUUGCCGCAUCCAUUUUUAGCAAUAUACCUCAUCAAUUCUCCACAAGGUCAAUUAACACUCUACUAUGAGCCUCACUGUGUAUACAACAAGGAUUUUCUUGAGAAGGAACGUGCCAACAUUGUUAUCACACUCGUCAUAAAACAGCUUCUGCCUAAAUUUACUUUGGUUUCAGGACUAGAAGAUGCAGUUCAGCUUGCAAAGUUGGUGCAGGCCAAGUUCAUUGCACCAAUGAAAAAUGGAGACCUCGAUAGCAAAGGGUUCUUGCCACAAUCAUUCAAGGUUUGCUUUCUUUUAUCUAACCUCGUCAGUUUCCAUUGAAAUAAAAUUACGAUGGGGGUACAUAAAUUUGGAUACUGCAAACACGAUAUGGGAAUUACUGUAGUUAGCGCUCCUAAAUUGAAAUUCUUGCACAACACAGAGGAAGAAUUUGAAAAGAACAACAAAAGGAGAGAGGGAUGAACUAUACGUGUAAAAUCUAUUGUAUAGAAUGUGAUAUAAAAAAAUGUUAUUUUAUACGUGUAAACUUGUUCCCAAUUGAGUUCUGGAAGUUCAGGAGCCUCUUCUUGAAUCCAUUUCUUGGUUUAUCAAAGACAGCCUAAUUAUGCUGGAAAAAGUUGAUUGUCAUCAGUUCUCUGCCCAUAAGCUGGUACCAUUUCAUAUUAGGCAAGGCCGCGAAGGAAGAAAAUGGAAAAUGAAAAUCUGUUCAACCAAUUUACUCGAGUCAAGUUCUAUUAGAAAACGAAAAAAUUGAUAAAAUAUUUUUUUUUUCUUGUUUUUAAUUUGAAGAAAAAAGAAGGCAACAUAAAAUUCCUUAUCUUUAAUACACAAAAUUUGAGCACCUUGAAAUAUUUAAAAUUCACGCGGGGAAUGUUUAGUAAAUCGAUUUUUGGUUUCUUUGUUGUGUAUUGCGUCCUUGUUUCAGAAUCCUGAAUAUUGUUUGUAAAGAUGAAGAGAAAAUGACUUGUGCAAUGUAUUCAUUCUAAGAACAUGCCAGAUUAAUGUACAAUAUCGCAAUACUGCCAACCUAAGAUGGUAUAGAAACAGUUGUGAUUAUAUCAUACGGAAACUGGGUUUUUUCUUCCCAGUUCGUACUGUUCGUACGUUCGGAUCACUGGUGUGUUUCAACUGGAAAGACUUUGAUAUGCUUUUGUACUUUCUUCUCUGAAAUUGUGCUGUCUUGUCAUUCAUCAAAACAUAAGUAUUUUUUCAACGGCAUGAAGAGAUGUAAUAAAAUACCUACUGU